rfam:Triticum aestivum genome assembly, contig: Triticum_aestivum_CS42_TGACv1_scaffold_375045_5AL
GUGCUACUCCCUCUGUCCGGAAUUACUUGUCAGAGAAAUGAAUGUAUCUAGACAUAUUUUAGUUUUAGAUACAUUCGUUUUAUCCAUUUCUGUGACAAGUAAUUUUGAACGGAGGGAAUACCAG